GAGCCAGCACCAGCCUGCGGGGAGUGACCCCCGACCUUUGACCUCCAUUGACCUCCAUCCGGGUACCAGGGCCGGGAUUUCCCACUCCUGGGCCUGGGCUGCUUCCAGUGGCUUCAGGGCAUCUCUCUCUUCAAUCCGAGGAGCAGCGAUGGGGUUAUUGAUUCCUGGUUUUACUCCAUCGUGGUUAAAGAAUAUACUCUGUAUCUCUUCAAGAGUCUCACAGAAGCUGUUGAUCUGUCUUUUGAACUCGGGCAUCUGAUCUCAGUCUGUGUGCUUAACAACUCUGGAAUGCUGUUUCUCGACUAUUUCUGA
rnacentral:lncRNA from 1 species